ensembl:snRNA Gm23421 predicted gene, 23421
GAGCUCUCUUCAGUAGCACUCACACUAAAAUUGGAAAGAUACAGAGAUUAGCAUGGCCCCUGCGGAAGGAUGUCACGCAAAUUUGUAAGGCAUUCCAUAUUUUU